rnacentral:rRNA from 1 species
UCAGGGGAUUUAGUCUACACUGCGUGAGCGGAACGAAAACAACAACACCUAAAAUGUGGAAUAUAGCAUAUAGUCGACAAGAGAAAUCUACGAAAAACAAACAAAACUUUCAACAACGGAUCUCUUGGUUCUCGCAUCGAUGAAGAGCGCAGCGAAAUGCGAUACCUAGUGUGAAUUGCAGCCAUCGUGAAUCAUCGAGUUCUUGAACGCACAUUGCGCCCCUCGGCAUUCCGGGGGGCAUGCCUGUUUGAGCGUCGUUUCCAUCUUGCGCGUGCGCAGAGUUGGGGGAGCGGAGCGGACGACGUGUAAAGAGCGUCGGAGCUGCGACUCGCCUGAAAGGGAGCGAAGCUGGCCGAGCGAACUAGACUUUUUUUCAGGGACGCUUGGCGGCCGAGAGCGAGUGUUGCGAGACAACAAAAAGCUCGACCUCAAAUCAGGUAGGAAUACCCGCUGAACUUAAGCAUAUCAAUAAGCGGAGGAA